CAUAGUUCUGCAAAACAAAGGCGAUUGGCUACUUUGGCUUACCGUUGUGCUCUCGAACCUCGCGAAUGUAGUUGUUAGUCCAAUGUAAUAUUUGGUAGAAACAGCGUGAGAUGCAGUGAAACGAGAAAAUAGACAGGACAGAAAACGAAAGAAAUAAAUACAUAUCAGAGUUUUAGCCUGCGAAUGGUCAGGCGGGAUUUCGUGAGAAUGAGUAAUCCAAACGUUCAAGGAUAGCUGGCUGCUCGAAGUCACGUAGCUAUCGGGUGACACAGGAUCGAAUUUUCGGAAGACGCGUGAGAGAGUUUGGACGUGACAAGUAAUCCGAAUACGUUUACCAAAAAACAGGAAUAUUGUUUCCAGAGAAUCUGGCCGCAGCAUGUCGACUAAAAUACCUUCUGCUGAAUGCAUCGUGAAUAUCUCGUCUACACUCACAGAGCUGUCCAGCUGGAUAAAUUGUAAAGUAUAAAUUAAAUAACAAAGAAGAUAAAACUCACAGAUACUGUCCGUAGAUAAUAGUCUUCGUACAGUGUCCGCUGCCAGUCAUUGGAUCAUGUAUGCAAACUGUCUGCACACGAUGUCGUUUGUCUGUUGCAGUCUAAAGGCUAAAGCCUAAUGAGGGUUCCGGCUACUCGUAAUAUUGUAUCAGCCGACCUUUUGCACGACCACAACGGCCCCAACCCAUAAUUUCGGGUACCCGCACACCCUUAUAGCCUGUCCAACGAGACGAGAAAGUGGACAUAAACAAAAUAUAAUACCUGCAGCUACAGCAAUCGCACCUAAUUAGUGUCUCCGGUUAUGUCUCUUUUUUUUCUAUUGUGCGCUUAAGGUCACAUGCACCUUUCGAGAUUAUUAGUGACUACGGUGAGGAUGAUCAGUGGGACAGAGCAUACCUACGUAUAAUAUGUUGUACAAAUCAAUAUCUUUGGGGAAACUUAGAACUUUCUCGCACGAGUCUUCCUUUUGUAACACAUUGGACAAAUUAGUUGGGUCGUGCAAUAUCGUAUUUAGCACAGAUGAUUAGGAUAUGUCCGAUAGAGUUUAGAAUGCCGCAGGUGUCAGAUAUUUGAUUCAGUUUUGGUGAUAAAGUUGGAGCGUGUCCAGGUCCGUGUCUUUGAGCAAGGUUUCUAUCGCGACUUAUGGGGCACAUUGUACAUUCUGUAAUUUGCGGAAGAUAAAGCAGAGAACUGUUAAACUAUUUCGGAGAUUUUUAUUCGAAGACUGUCAGUAGACUGCGGAUUUUUAUGGAUUCGUGGGAAAUUUGACAAUACAAUAUUGCAGAGAAUGCACAUAAUAUGAAGAAAUGUAUGAAAUGUACAAAGCGUAACACUUUCUAUAAUGCUUGACAGGUAAAACAAUUCCCUACUGAGCCUAUAUCUUUUUAAUUAUAUUCUCAAAAACAUGAAUUUGUACAAAAAUCCGCAAUUAAUAGUUGUCACUAUAGAAACGAUCUUCCUGCGGAAAUAAGCCUAGAAGACGGCCUUGGAUUUAAGAAUUUUGUAAGGAUGUCGAAAACUGGUUUUGACAUUUUAUUACGGAAAGUUUGUCCGAAAAUAGAAAGAAAGGCGAGAAUUGUUGCCGAACCGGUGGCGAAAGAAAGAAAAUCAAAACAAAGCCUGGCAGCGUACAGACGAUUAAAUUGAACUGCAUGUUGUCGUUUCCACGUUCUUCCAACAUCUGUCCAUAGACGUUGUCCCUUAUUUUCUAUCGCAAUGGAAACUUGCAUUUUAUCUGCUGUUAUUUCCCGAUUUUUCUCGAACAACGUGCAUAGAUUAACUGUGGAAAGUUGUCUAUGGGCAGUUGUCUGUCAGUGUAGACGAGGCUGAAGACGUAAAGGUACGCGUCCACUUGAAGGUAAAACUAUCGCGAGCUGCUCUCGAGAGUCACUCGCGACAAACGCUAUCGAGUGUAACUCGCGAUAGAUUUACUCUCAAGUGGCCGUGUAUCUUCAAAGUACUUCAGAACCUGAGAACAUAACGAAGUGAGAGAUUGAAGUUGUUGAAAGUGGAUCUAGUUAAAAACGAUUUUAUGAUUAGAUGCGUAGAAUUAUUGGAUGAAACUUUUAA